CCUANGGGGGCUGCAGUCGAGAAUCUUCCGCAAUGGACGAAAGUCUGACGGAGCGACGCCGCGUGAUUGAUGAAGACCCUAUGGGUCGUAAAGAUCUUUUAUGAGGGAAGAAGUUUAUUGACGGUACCUCAUGAAUAAGAGGCUCCUAAUCUCGUGCCAGCAGGAGCGGUAAUACGAGAGCCUCGAGCGUUAUCCGGAAUUAUUGGGCGUAAAGGGUGCGUAGGUUGUUCUGUUAGUCUUUUGUCAAAGCCUCGGGCUUAACCUGAGAUAUGCAAAAGAAACGGCAGAACUUGAAAGUGUGAGAGGUAUACAGAACUUAUGGUGUAGGGGUGAAAUCCGUUGAUAUCAUAGGGAAUACCAAAUGCGAAGGCAGUAUACUGGCGCAUAUUUGACACUGAAGCACGAAAGCGUGGGUAGCGAAUGGGAUUAGAUACCCUUNUAGUC
rnacentral:rRNA from 1 species